CCCUUAGAUGUUCUGGGCUGCACGCGCGCUACACUGAUGCGCUCAACGAGUUUUAACCUUGCCUGGAAAGGUUGGGUAAUCUUUUUAAAACGCAUCGUGAUGGGGAUAGAUUAUUGCAAUUAUUAAUCUUCAACGAGGAAUUCCUAGUAAACGCAGAUCAUCAAUCUGCAUUGAUUACGUCCCUGCCCUUUGUACACACCGCCCGUCGCACCUACCGAUUGAAUGGUCCGGUGAAGCCUCGGGAUUGUGGUUGGUUUCCUUUAUUGGAGAUUGAUUGCGAGAACUUGUCUAAACCUUAUCAUUUAGAGGAAGGUGAAGUCGUAACA
rnacentral:rRNA from 1 species